rnacentral:rRNA from 1 species
AUCGAACGCUGGCGGCAGGCCUAACACAUGCAAGUCGAACGGAGCGGCGGACGGGUGAGUAAUGCCUGGGAAUCUGCCCGGGAGUGGGCGAUAACGUACGGAAACGGGCGCUAAUACCGCAUACUAUCACAUGAGUCUAGGGGGGAUUAGCUAGUUGGUGGGGUAACGGCGUACCAAGGCGACGAUGCGUAACUGGCCUGAGAGGAUGAUCAGUCACACUGGGACUGAGACACGGUCCAGACUCCUACGGGAGGCAGCAGUGGGGAAUAUUGGGCAAUGGGCGAAAGCCUGAUCGAGCCACGCCGCGUGUGUGAAGAAGGUCUUCGGAUUGUAAAGCUCUGUAAGUUGGGAGGCGUUACCAACAGAAAAAGCACCGGCUAACUUCGUGCCAGCAGCCGCGGUAAUAC